UCAGCGGCGGACGGGUGAGUAAUGCCUAAGAAUCUGCCUAUUAGUGGGGGACAACGUUUCGAAAGGAACGCUAAUACCGCAUACGUCCUACGGGAGAAAGCAGGGGACCUUCGGGCCUUGCCCUAAUAGAUGAGCCUAGGUCGGAUUANCUGGUUGGUGAGGUAAAGGCUCACCUAGGCGACGAUCCGUAACUGGUCUGANAGGAUGAUCAGUCACCCUGGAACGGANACACGGCCCAGACUCCUACAGGAGGCAGCCGUGGGGAAUAUUGGACAAUGGGCGAAAGCCUGAUCCAACCAUGCCGCGUGUGUGAAGAAGGUCUUCGCAUUGGAAAGCAAUUUCUUUUGGGAGGAAGGGCAUUAAGUUAAUACCUUGCUGUUUUGACGUUACCUACAGAAUAAGCACC
rnacentral:rRNA from 1 species